rnacentral:rRNA from 1 species
AUGCAAGUCGAACGAAGUAGCAAUACUUAGUGGCAGACGGGUGAGUAACAUGUGGGUAUCUUCCCUUUGGUGAGGAAUAACACGAGGAAACUUGUGCUAAUACCUCAUAAGUCUUUACGGAGAAAGCUUUAUGCGCCAAUGGAUGAGCCCGCACUUGAUUAGUUUGUUGGUAGGGUAAUGGCCUACCAAGACUAUGAUCAAUAGCUGAUUUGAGAGGAUGAUCAGCCACAUUGGGACUGAGACACGGCCCAAACUCCUACGGGAGGCAGCAGUAGGGAAUCUUGCACAAUGGAGGAAACUCUGAUGCAGCGAUGCCGCGUGAGUGAAGAAGGCCUUUGGGUUGUAAAGCUCUUUCGUCGGGGAAGAAAAUGACUGUACCCGAAUAAGAAGGUCCGGCUAACUUCGUGCCAGCAGCCGCGGUAAUACGAAGGGACCUAGCGUAGUUCGGAAUUACUGGGCUUAAAGAGUUCGUAGGUGGUUAAAAAAGUUGGUGGUGAAAUCCCAGAGCUUAACUCUGGAACUGCCAUCAAAACUUUUUAGCUAGAGUAUGAUAGAGGAAAGCAGAAUUUCUAGUGUAGAGGUGAAAUUCGUAGAUAUUAGAAAGAAUACCAAUUGCGAAGGCAGCUUUCUGGAUCAUUACUGACACUGAGGAACGAAAGCAUGGGUAGCGAAGAG